UGGGGAAUAUUGCACAAUGGGCGAAAGCCUGAUGCAGCAACGCCGCGUGCGGGAUGACGGCCUUCGGGUUGUAAACCGCUUUCAGCAGGGACGAAGGUUUUCUGACGGUACCUGCAGAAGAAGCACCGGCUAACUACGUGCCAGCAGCCGCGGUGAUACGUAGGGUGCGAGCGUUGUCCGGAAUUAUUGGGCGUAAAGAGCUUGUAGGCGGUCCGUUGCGUCGGAAGUGAAAACUCAGGGCUUAACCCUGAGCCUGCUUUCGAUACGGGCGGACUUGAGGGAUGUAGGGGAGAACGGAAUUCCUGGUGGAGCGGUGGAAUGCGCAGAUAUCAGGAGGAACACCAGUGGCGAAGGCGGUUCUCUGGACAUUUCCUGACGCUGAGAAGCGAAAGCGUGGGGAGCAAACAGGCUUAGAUACCCUGGUAGUCCACGCCGUAAACGGUGGCACUAGGUGUGGGACCCAUUCCACGGGUUCCGUGCCGUAGCUAACGCAUUAAGUG
rnacentral:rRNA from 1 species